rnacentral:rRNA from 1 species
UACAGAGGGUGCAAGCGUUACUCGGAAUUACUGGGCGUAAAGCGUGCGUAGUCGGUUAUCUAAGUCGGGUGUGAAAUCCCCGGGCUCAACCUGGGAAUUGCAUUCGAUACUGGACAGCUAGAGUUCGGCAGAGGGAAGCGGAAUUUCUGGUGUAGCGGUGAAAUGCGUAGAUAUCAGAAGGAACAUCAGUGGCGAAAGCGGCUUCCUGGACCAGAACUGACGAUCAGGCACGAAAGCGUGGGGAGCAAACAGG